rnacentral:rRNA from 1 species
GAGUUUGAUCCUGGCUCAGGAUGAACGCUGGCGGCGUGCCUAAUACAUGCAAGUCGAACGCUUCACUUCGGUGAAGAGUGGCGAACGGGUGAGUAAUACAUAAGUAACCUGGCAUCUACAGGGGGAUAACUGAUGGAAACGUCAGCUAAGACCGCAUAGGUGUAGAGAUCGCAUGAACUCUAUAUGAAAAGUGCUACGGGACUGGUAGAUGAUGGACUUAUGGCGCAUUAGAUAGUUGGCGGGGUAACGGCCCACCAAGUCGACGAUCAGUAGCCGGACUGAGAGGUUGAACGGCCACAUUGGGACUGAGACACGGCCCAGACUCCUACGGGAGGCAGCAGUGGGGGAUAUUGGACAAUGGGGGCAACCCUGAUCCAGCGACGCCGCGUGAGGGAAGAAGGUUUUCGGAUUGUAAACCUCUGUUGACGGAGAAAAAAAUGAUGGUAUCCGUUUAGAAAGCCACGGCUAACUACGUGCCAGCCGCCGCGGUAAUAC